rnacentral:rRNA from 1 species
CUUUAAGUAUCCUAAAGGGUUGUCGGAGACUACGACGUUGAUAGGUCAGGUGUGUAAGUGCUGUGAGGCAUUGAGCUAACUGAUACUAAUUGCCCGUGAGGCUUAACCAUACAACACCCAAGGGGUUU